AAUUGUUUGAAAAAUAAUGUUGUUAUACAGUUUGAUUGCUAAGACUGCUAUUCAUUGUGGUUGCAAUACAAAUUCAUCUCCAUACCGUGGAGGUUGAUACGUUUUUGUUACAUGACUUCUCCCUCUUCACUCUCGGUCGUGAUCGUCGGGAAACAAAGAAAAAGGGUGUAGUGCUUUCACUUACGGCGGAGGGAUCUGUAAAAUUCAACACUUCGUGGCCAGAAAAGUAAAAUAGCGCACAAAUGGCAACUCCACCACCACCGACGGCUCCGCCAGGGACCGGGAAUUUCGAGGGGGGGCCGCUGCCAGCAGCGCCUCAGCCUCCGGGCACGGACAUGACUGGAAUUUGCUUUAGAGACCAGCUUUGGCUCAAUACUUACCCUCUUGAUCGAAACUUGGUUUUCGAUUACUUCGCCUUGUCGCCUUUCUACGACUGGACUUGUAACAACGAACAACUCAGAAUGCGCUCCAUUCACCCCCUCGAUCUUUCUCAACUCUCAAAAAUGACAGGCAUAGAGUACAUGCUGAAUGAAGUUAUGGAGCCUCACCUUUUCGUUUUCAGAAAGCAAAAAAGGGAUGGUCCUGAGAAAGUCACACCGAUGCUGACUUAUUAUAUCUUGGAUGGUUCAAUCUACCAGGCGCCUCAACUUUGCAGUGUUUUUGCUGCUCGCGUUAGUCGGGCACUGUAUUACAUAUCAAAGGCCUUUACCACUGCUUCCUCAAAGUUGGAGAAGAUAGGAUAUGUUGAUUCUGAAAAUGAGAGUGAAGAAGUAAAACCUGCAAAAGAAACCAUUAACUUUAAGGAAGUAAAGCGAGUUGAUCAUAUUCUUGCAUCUUUACAGCGCAAGCUGCCACCUGCCCCACCACCCCCACCAUUUCCUGAAGGUUAUGCUCCUGCUGCCACAGCAGAGACAGAAAAAGGCCCUGAAAAUCAGCAAGGAGAGUCACAACAGCCUUCUGCAGAUCCCAUUAUUGAUCAGGGUCCAGCUAAAAGGAUGAAAUUUUCAAGUGUUUAGGCUACCUUGCCUGUUGAGAAGCCUAUUUAAUCCUACAAUUGAAAUUCAACAUGGAUGACAUCCCUGCACAAAGCAUGGGAUUCCUUUUAAUGAAGCUGGGACUAGUACAUUAGCCAAAGAAGUAGUUGCCACUCCAACUAACAACAAUGUUGACUGUGAACAAAAUAACAGUGCUCCAGUUGAGAAUCAAGCAACGCUUGAGAGUCAAGCAUCCAUUGUGAUUCCAAACAAUGUGCCAACCACUUCUCAAAAUGUUAGACGGUCUACUCGCUUACCAAACCACCUUCUUAUCUUCAUGAGUAUCAUCGUUACUUUGCUUCAAGAGUCCUCUAUGAGCAACGUGCUCACUAUGCCUACAAAGCUCCCCAUUCAGAAGUUCAUGUCUUAUAACAAGUUGUCCUCGAGUUAUAAGAAAUUCUUACUCACUUCUACCUUCAAGCCACUAUUCUACCAUCACCCUGUCCCUUUCAAAGAAUGGCAUGAUGCUAUGACAGAUGAGUUAAAAGCCACAGAAACAAAACUAGACUUGGUCGGUUGUUCCUCUUUCUCUUUAUUGUUCUAAUUUUAUCAGAAGUUCAUGUCUUAUAACAAGUUGUCCUCGAGUUAUAAGAAAUUCUUACUCACUUCUACCUUCAAGCCACUAUUCUACCAUCACCCUGUCCCUUUCAAAGAAUGGCAUGAUGCUAUGACAGAUGAGUUAAAAGCCACAGAAACAAAACUAGACUUGGUCGGUUGUUCCUCUUUCUCUUUAUUGUUCUAAUUUUAUCAGAUGUCCUCCAAGGGACUCAGUUGUUCCUCUUCCUCCUACUCAACAUUUCAUAGGAUGCAAAUGGGUGUAUAAAAUCAAGCAUGGAGCCGAUACAUCGAUUGAACGAUAAAGCAAGACUUGUAGCCAAGUGGUACACUCAACGAGAAGGCUUGAUUAUGUUGAAACGCUUUCUUCAGUUGCCAAGCUUUUGACCAUCAAAAUUUUAUCAACUAUGGUUGUAUCAAUGAAAUGGGAACUAGUUCAACUUGACGUCAACGAUGCAUUUCUACCGUGAUCUUGUUGAAGAAAUUUACAUGGAUCUACCACUAGGAUACAAACAUGGUGUGGUUGCUAGAAAGGGGGAGCAUUUACUAUGUAAACUUAGCCAAUCAAUAUAUGGGCUUAAACAAAUUUCUCAACAAUGGUUUGAUAAGUUUUCUCGCAAUCAAUAUAUGCCCUGUUAUCCCUCGGAUUCUCACAAUCCAAGUUAGAUUAUUAUUUGUUUACCUGUGGCUCUGGACAUACUAUUAAUCUAUGUUAAUGAUGUAGUAAUAAUUGGUGCUUUAUCUACUAAUAUCUCCAUUCUAAAGCAACACUUGAAUUUUGUAUUCAAGUUAAAAAAACCUUAGCAGCAACUCCUGGCCAAGGUCUCUUCUUAAAGGCAUCUAUUUUUCAAAUACGUGCCUUCAGUGAUGAUUGGGCUUCUUGCCUUGACACUUGCAAGUCUACUACCAGUUUUUGUGUGUUUCUUGGUGAUUCAUCAGUCUCUUGGAAGUCAAAGAAGCAAGUGACAGAUUUAAAAUCAUUAGCUGAAGCAGAUAGAGGUUUAGCAACCACUGUUAGUGAAGUUUCUUGGCUUGUCCAACUGCUUAAAGACUUAGUGUUUUGUGAUAUAGUAUUUUGUGAUAGUACUGCUACCACUCACAUAGCCUCAAAUCUAGCUUUUCACGAAAGAACGAAGCACAUAUAGUUAGAUUGUCACCUCGUGUUAGAUCAUGUAGCAAAAGGCAAUAUCAAAUUGAUGCCUAUCCGGACUCAUUCCCAAUUGGCGGACAUUUUCACUACGGCCUUGCUAUCUUCAUUUACACUACUAUUGUCCAAGAUGGGUGUCCUAAAGAUACUAGGUCCAUCUUGAAGGGGAGUAAUGGAAAUUAGUUAUAUUGUUGAAACUCCUGAUAUUUUGUUAUUGGUGGUUAUUUUGAUAUAUCACCCACCUAUGUGUACUUCCAUUGGGUAUUUAUAUUGCCCAUUCUUAAUAAUAAAGAUUGAGCAAAGCUA